rnacentral:misc_RNA from 1 species
GUGACAUGACCAACAUAUGUCAUGCUGGCCAGAGCCUCACCUCUGAAACCCAUCGAGUUAAUUGUCUGCAGAUCCUCAUAAGUAGAUAGUUUUGAUGUUGUGUGCCUUUCACACAGUAUUGGCAGGUCUGCAUACCGUAUGCCAUGACCGUUGUCGGAGACCUGGAUAAGCUUGAGGCCGCCGUCCUUGACGACAACGGAGAUGGAAGUGGCGCCGGCGUCGAG